rnacentral:rRNA from 1 species
AUUGAACGCUGGCGGCAUGCCUUACACAUGCAAGUCGAACGGCAGCAUGGGUGCUUGCACCUGAUGGCGAGUGGCGAACGGGUGAGUAAUACAUCGGAACGUACCCGGAAGUGGGGGAUAACGUAGCGAAAGUUACGCUAAUACCGCAUAUUCUGUGAGCAGGAAAGAGGGGGAUCGCAAGACCUCUCGCUUUCGGAGCGGCCGAUGUCGGAUUAGCUAGUUGGCGGGUAAAGGCCCACCAAGGCAACGAUCCGUAGCGGGUCUGAGAGGAUGAUCCGCCACACUGGGACUGAGACACGGCCCAGACUCCUACGGGAGCAGCAGUGGGAAUUUUGGACAAUGGGGGCAACCCUGAUCCAGCCAUGCCGCGUGAGUGAAGAAGGCCUUCGGGUUGU